rnacentral:ribozyme from 15 species
UGGUGUCCUUUUCUUCUUUUUUUUCUUCUUCUUCACUUUUUCCUUCACUAAUUUAUCGGGUUCAUCAUUUUGAAAAUCCUGCAAGGACAUGCUUGAUCCAGCUCUUGCAGCAGCAGCUUUUGGUACAAGUUCUGUUAAUGAUAUUUUUGAUCCAUUUUUUGCAGUGGGUUUUUGUGCAGCUGUUUCUUUUUUGUUUGGUGCCUUAAACGAAUCAAAUUGCAAG